rnacentral:sRNA from 1 species
UUAGCGACGUCUACUUCUUCGCUCUGCUGGUAGAGUUUCCCCACGGCUUCGCUGAUGGCCGGGUGCCAGGUGACGGCGCGGUUAACGGCAUCGCCAAGCUGCAAUGAACCGGGUGCGGCUUUGCCAGCCGCAGGUGCGACGCGGCCGUUGAGCGAGGGGAGUUCCUGCGUUUCGCGAAGCUGUCCGGUAUUGAUGGUGGCCGCCGGAUUUGCGCAGAAAGCGGGCACAGAUAUCAGGCAGCACGAGAGCCACCAGUAAGGCAUCUUCAUUCCCAUGUCAUGUCCCUAUAAAAAAAUACGGCUUUAUUAUUUAUGCCCGGGCGCUGCGCGCCCGGGUC